rnacentral:rRNA from 3 species
CUCGGAUCAGGUAGGGAUACCCGCUGAACUUAAGCAUAUC